rnacentral:rRNA from 1 species
GAUGAACGCUAGCGGCAGGCUUAACACAUGCAAGUCGAGGGGCAGCACGGGUAGCAAUACCUGGUGGCGACCGGGCAAACGGGUGCGGAACACGUACACAAUCUACCUUUAUCUGGGGAAUAGCCCGAAGAAAUUCGGAUUAAUACCCCAUAAAAUAACAGAGUGGCAUCACUUAAUUAUUAAAACUCCGGUGGAUAGAGAUGAGUGUGCGUCCAUUAGCUAGUUGGUAGGUAAGGCCUACCAAGGCGACGAUGGGUAGCUGGUGUGAGAGCACGACCAGCCACACGGGCACUGAGACACGGGCCCGACUCCUACGGGAGGCAGCAGUGGGGAAUAGUUGCGCAAUGGGCGGAAGCCUGACGCAGCGACGCCGCGU